rnacentral:ncRNA from 1 species
AUAAUGUUUUGUUUAUUUUAUAAAAGUUUUAUUCUUGCUUGUAAAAUUCACUUUUUCUUUAUUUUAUAUAUAAGUUUUGUUAUACUAAAUGUACUGGAUUUUUGUAGUAAUUAAAUUUAAUUAUCAAGUUAUUUUGGAAUUAGUAAUUGAUUAAGUAUUGGCAAAUUUCGUGCCAGCAGCCGCGGUUAUACGAUUAAUGCAAGUGAAUUUUUUUGGUUUAUUGUAGUUAAUUUUUUAUUUGAGUUUUAUAAAGAAUUUAUUAGGUGAAAUUUUAUUUUUUUUUUUACUCUUUUUAUGAAUCUAUGAGACUUAAAUUAUAAACUAGGAUUAGAUACCCUAUUAUUUUAAGUGUAAAUUUUUUUACCUGGGUAGUUUUAGUUAAGUUCUUUAAACCCAAAGAAUUUGGCGGUAUUUCAUUCCAUUUAGAGGAACCUAUCUAAUAAUUGAUAAUACACGAUUAACUUUACUUAAUUUAUUUGUUUGUAUAUCUCCGUUAUCAGAAAAUCUUUAUGGAGGAAUAAUUUUCUUGUUUUUAAAAUAAAAUUUAUUUCAGGUCAAGGUGCAGCUUAUAAUUAAGAUUUUGAUGGGUUACAAUAAAUUAUGAUUUAUUAUGGAUUUAAUUCUUGAAAUUUGUUUAAUGAAGGUGGAUUUAAUAGUAAUUUAAUUUAUUAAAUUUAAUUGAUAUUGGCUCUGAAGUGUGUACACAUCGCCCGUCGCUCUCAUUAUUGAUAAUUUAUUAUUUGUUGUCAAUUAAUAUGAGAUAAGUCGUAACAUAGUAGAUGUACUGGAAAGUGUAUCUAGUAAGUUAAUC